UACGGAGGGUGCAAGCGUUAUCCGGAUUUACUGGGUUUAAAGGGUGCGUAGGUGGGUAGGUAAGUCAGUGGUGAAAUCUUCGAGCUUAACUCGGAAACUGCCAUUGAUACUAUUUAUCUUGAAUACUCUGGAGGUAAGCGGAAUAUGUCAUGUAGCGGUGAAAUGCUUAGAUAUGACAUAGAACACCAAUUGCGAAGGCAGCUUACUACAUAGUUAUUGACACUGAGGCACGAAAGCGUGGGGAGCGAACGGG
rnacentral:rRNA from 1 species